GUGCUCACUUCAACAACACGGAUACUAAAAUUGGAUCAAUAUAGAGAAGAUUAGCAUGGCCCCUGCACAUGGAUGACAUGCAGAUUCAGGAAGCAUUCCAUAUUUUU